CGGACGGGUGAGUAACACGUGGAUAACCUACCUAUAAGACUGGGAUAACUUCGGGAAACCGGAGCUAAUACCGGAUAAUAUAUUGAACCGCAUGGUUCAAUAGUGAAAGACGGUUUUGCUGUCACUUAUAGAUGGAUCCGCGCCGCAUUAGCUAGUUGGUAAGGUAACAGCUUACCAAGGCAACGAUGCGUAGCCGACCUGAGAGGGUAAUCGGCCACAUUGGGACUGAGACACGGCCCAG
rnacentral:rRNA from 1 species